rnacentral:rRNA from 1 species
AAUAUACGGAACCCGGUGCUGGAAGGUUAAUUGAUGGGGUCAGCCGCAAGGCGAAGCUCUUGAUCGAAGCCCCAGUAAACGGCGGCCGUAACUAUAACGGUCCUAAGGUAGCGAAAUUCCUUGUCGGGUAAGUUCCGACCUGCACGAAUGGCGUAACGACAGCGGCGCUGUCUCCACCCGAGACUCAGUGAAAUUGAAUUCGCUGUGAAGAUGCAGCGUUCCCGCGGCAAGACGGAAAGACCCCGUGAACCUUUACUAUAGCUUUACAUUGAACGUUGAGUUCUUCUGUGUAGGAUAGGUGGGAGGCUAUGAAACCGAGACGCUAGUUUCGGUGGAGCCAUCCUUGAAAUACCACCCUGAAGUGCUUGACGUUCUAACCUCGAUCCGUUAUCCGGAUCAGGGACCAUGUAUGGUGGGUAGUUUAACUGGGGUGGUUU